rnacentral:rRNA from 1 species
AUUGAACGCUGGCGGCAGGCCUAACACAUGCAAGCCCAGCGAGUGGCGGAAGGGUGAGUAAUGUAUGGGGACUGCCCGAUAGCGGGGGAUAACUACUGGAAACGGUAGCUAAUACCGCAUACUAUCGGAUCACCCAUAUGGGAGUAGCUAGUAGGUGAAGUAAUGGCUCACCUAGGCGACGAUCCCUAGCUGGUCUGAGAGGAUGAUCAGCCACACUGGGACUGAGACACGGCCCGGCCUCCGACGGAGGCAGCAGUGGGGAAGAUGGCACAGGGGGCGCAAGCCUGAUGCGGCCAUGCCGCGUGGAUGAAGAAGGCCCUAGGGUUGGAAAGUACUUGCGGGCGGGAGGCGUUGCCGACAGAAGAAGCACCGGCGAACACCGUGCGAGCAGCCGCGGUAAUAC